UACGGAGGGUGCAAGCGUUAAUCGGAAUUACUGGGCGUAAAGCGCACGCAGGCGGUUUGUUAAGUCAGAUGUGAAAUCCCCGAGCUUAACUUUGGAACUGCAUUUGAAACUGGCAAGCUAGAGUCUUGUAGAGGGGGGUAGAAUUCCAGGUGUAGCGGUGAAAUGCGUAGAGAUCUGGAGGAAUACCGGUGGCGAAGGCGGCCCCCUGGACAAAGACUGACGCUCAGGUGCGAAAGCGUGGGGAGCAAACAGG
rnacentral:rRNA from 1 species